UACGUAGGGGGCUAGCGUUGUCCGGAAUCAUUGGGCGUAAAGAGCGUGUAGGCGGUUCGGUAGGUCCGUUGUGAAAACUCGAGGCUCAACCUCGAGACGCCGAUGGAAACCCCCGAACCAGAGUCCGGAAGAGGAGAGUGGAAUUCCCGGUGUAGCGGUGAAAUGCGCAGAUAUCGGGAAGAACACCCGUGGCUAAGGCGGCUCUCUAGUACGGUACUGACGCUGAGACGCGAAAGCGUGGGGAGCGAACAGG
rnacentral:rRNA from 1 species